UUACCGCUCCGUAUGUUACAGUCUUAGUUAUUGUUAAAUAGUUGACAUACGAGUAUUAAUUCUUUUUUUUUCACUACGGUGAUACAUUGUGCUGAAUGCUGAAAAGUCCCCAAGUCUUGCUCACCUGCAGAAGCAAGGGUCUUCGGUGAGGGUGAGGUGUCAUUGCGGGCGUACCAGUAUGUACCACAGGGGCCAUUGGUGGACCCGCCACCGGUACUGAAUGCCCUAUAUGGACUGGGGGCCGCGUCAUACCCCGCCCACCUGGGCACAGCCCCAUCUAGACAUGCACCAACACCAAUGCAUUGCAAACACCCAGGCGAAAACACCAUUUUACCACAGCCAAUACUUUUAUAUUAAAUAAAUUACUUGCCUACGUCCUACGUUCAUAACAAAUUCGAGACCUCCUGCUCUCGCUCGUUAUAUUUAAAAAAACUCGAUACUUCAUAUUACACAAUUACAUUAAAAUUCAAAAUGCUACAAAAUUACAGGAUUAACAAUGAUUAUUUGACAUUGAAAAUACAACAUCCGCGCGUAUACGUCAACAAAUGUUUCGUAAUGGAUGUAUCGUGUAUAGAAAUCUAGAGAUAGAAUAGAAUUUAUAUGUAAGAAACUAAGAUUGUUAUAUUUAAUUUUCAUUAGGAAAGUAAAGAACGAUUUUAAUAA